CUUACGGCACUGUAUGUCUGAAGGAAGAAGCACCGUAAGUGUCUUCAAUGGCGAUUCCGUGAGCCGCAAGCUCGAUCGAUUGGCGCUGUAAGCAUGUUCGUUGGGCAUGAGGGGGUGACUUCCUCCCCGCUUUUCCCCACUGUAAGCGUGAGCACUGCUUAUGCUGUAAUGAUGGAAGAGGGCUUCCAGGUCACCAUGGAUUUCAAAUGACCUUCAAAGAGCAUCAGCGGGAGGGAAGAAAACUCAGUCCAGAGUGGUGGGCCACAUACUCCGACACCAACAGGCAUAAAUAAGAACGCCUCUCUGUAAAAUAACAGCAAGGAAGGGGAAAGAAAACCUGCUUCCCUUGUUGAGUACCUGUCAAAAGCAAGUGUGUUGACAAACAGUUUCACUGUAAGGAGAGGCUGGAGGAUGAAGGAAGGCAGACUGUGAGCCUCUUGCUGACAAGAA